ACACAACACAGACAACAUGAAUGAACAUAGCCAUACACCUCAGUCCUUCAAAAACUGUAACUGUGCUAAAUUCAGAGUCAGAUGUGAGUACUCUCCCUUUAAACUCAUCCAACCAGAAUCAAUUUGACCUGAGUGAGUGAUGUUUGCCACUCUCCAUAGUCAGCAAACAAAAAUUAAGAGUCAUAGACUUCACAUGCAAGACACUUUUAACAGUUUUCAUUAUGGGGAUACUCUAAAAUUCAAAGAAUGGCUAACGGAUUUACCCAUGACGGAGAAUACUGCUGUUUAUCUUGGUACACAUGAGGAUACUUCACUCAAUAACCCAAGAGUAUGGCUGUCCCCAACAUGUUCUCCCUGAUCUUUGCCUGUACCUGCGGGGUGAUCCUGGGCAUCGGUUUCUGUGCCAACCUACUGGUGUUCUCUCUGUUCGCCAAGUACAACACCCUGAGGAAGAACUGUCUGGACAUCCUGCUGCUCAGCAUGGCUCUGGCAGACUUCCUCACCCUGCUGCUCAUCCCUUUCACUCUGCACUCUGCCGUCAGCUACUCGUGGCCGCUGGGGGACACCUCCUGCAAGGUGUACCAGUUCUUUCUGGCCUUCUCCCUGGCAGCCAGCACCUACAGCCUGUGUGCCGUGUCCAUGACACGCGCCAUGAUCAUAACCAACCCCUACCGCCCUCCUACCAUGGACCUGGUGGUCCUGAUGUUCGUCUUGGUCUGGGCAUCAGCCUUCUUCAUCAGUCUGCCUCUGAGGAUCUUCGCCACCAAGGAGAGCCUGGGCCCCGGCUUGGGUGGUCCUCAGCCAGUUCAUGCUCUACUACUUCGUCCCUAUGCUGGUGAUCGCCUUCAACUACGUCCGGUUGGCCUGCUUCCUCCACAAGAGCCCAGUCAUGUCUGUGGCCAGUGCCCGCAACACACGCCGAGCCUCCUUUAUGGUGUUCCUGGCGGCCGGGACCUUCUCCAUCUGCUGGCUUCCCGGGUAUGA
rnacentral:lncRNA from 8 species